GAGGCCAGCUGCGGACUGGCAGCCAAGAGUGUCAGACGUCUGAGCUGAGAAUAGAGUCCUGAGGGUACUCGUGGCAUCUUGGGUUCUCUUGGAAAGUAGCAGCCACCAAGAUAUUAAAGAGAAUAGAAGGCAGCCAAGUGGCAUUAUCCUUGGGUUCAGAGCCAAGUACCAGCUCUUCCUGCUAAAAUGUUCUCAAUUUGGCCUUCACCAGAAGUGAGGACAGCAGUAUAAAUGUGUGAAUUCUUGUUGCAAACUGGCUAGACCCACAUUUUAUAAAUGUCAUUUCUUGGGAUCUUGUUUAUAUGAGAAACUGCAUUUCACCAGCAGCACUGAGACUGGCUGAUGAUAUCUUAGCAGGAGGACGCUCUCCUGAGGCCCUUUCCCUAUUCUCCUAUGCUGCACAUACUUCUCUCACAGAAGCCUUUUAAGGACCAGGUUAAACUCUCAUGCCACUCUUUGUGGUACCACUGCUCCCAGCUCUGAGGAAGGGGCUUCCAGGCUGCUGUACCACUGCUCCCAGCUCAGAGGAAUGGGCUUCUGGGCCACUGUACCACCACUCCCAGUACAGAGGAGAAAAAGAAGAAAGAGGAGGAAGACAAGAAGAGAGAGGGAAAAAGAGAGGGAGAACAAGAAGAAAGAGACUCACCAGAUGCUGAUGCCUUGAUCAUGGACUUCCAAACCUCUAGAACUGAGAAAUAAAUCUUCGUUCAUUAUAAAUUACCCAGUGUGUGGUAUUCUGCUAAUAUGCUAUGGUUUUUGUGUG
rnacentral:lncRNA from 1 species